UUUUAAGCAAAAUCCCCGUUUUCCAACAUAACCAGACUGAGACAUGAUGUUCGAUAUCAUUUCCACAUCUGUACGUCCAGCGGUUUGGUUCAUAUAGGUAGCAUUUCGUGUUAGCUUAGCAGAAAGACUUGAAGUCUAUGGGAGUCGUUAGCCUAGCUCUGUCAAAGGAUUUUCUCCAAAAUGUUGGCCGUAUU